UCGUCCUCGUCCUCCUCCUCGUCGCUGUGGUUCGGACCCAAAACCAAUUUGCUUUCUAAGCUUUUGCUUUCUAAUGGAGAAGCUGGUGUGGAGAGAGGCCGGGGUCUCCUCCCCUGGUCACACACCUCCCUGACUUUCAUCUCACACGGGCUUUCUUCCUGGUCUUAAUAAAACUGGGACCCACAGCCCAGGAGAGCCGUAACCUCGGGUCAGGAGGGAUGGACAGAUACUGACGACUGAUGAUACUUAAAAUCCAAACCUCUCUCCUGGGCCCUUAAUACCGUGGAAGGACCUGAAAGAUAAAACCUUGAGAAGGCAGAGGAGCAAGGGUUCAUUUUUGUGCUGGCAUAGUGAUAACUGCUGACGUUACCGAGAACUACAUGUCACUGUGCAAAACCCUUUACAUGGCUUCUCUCCUUUAGUCAUCAGAACUGCCUCCCCAGGUAGAAAGAAAGAAUUAGUAUCCUCAUUUUACAGAUGCAGAAAACAAGUUCUAGGAAGUUCUGUAAGUUGCCAAGGUCACAUGGCUACCAAAGGGCAGAGCUGGAUUUUGAGCACAGGAGUCUGCGAAGGGCCUACACUACAACCACUGAGCUGUCCAAAAAAAGUCUCGGCUGAAAAUGUGACUCAAAGAGUGAAAUAUAUUUAGAGCUGGGGAACACUAGUUUAAUCUCUCUCCUUUGGCCAUACGACAUCAGUGAAGGGAGGAAGCCUCAGGCUCAUCGACUGCAUUCUGAAGUGUCACUUAAAUGUACCAUCACAGCCUUUACCACUGUUUAGGGAGUUAUAAGCAAAACCCAACCAGCCAUGCCUUACAUCCUUUCCUGCCACUGAGAACAUUUUUGAGUAUCCUCACAGUAUCUAUGAAGACCCUUUGAAUGCUGAAAGCUAUAAUUAUAGACACUUCUAGACUGAGAAAUGUUCUAGCUGGGUUCUAGUCGGGGGGUUCCUUAUGCCACGUAGGUGGCUGGUGUGAGCACACCACCACACCCUGAAUCCACAGGGGUAGCUCCACGCAGCAGGUGGCAGACACACUUGACACGCAGGCUUCCUUUCCAGUCUCCCUAAUGCUUUCUGUUGGCCUCAGGCAAACCCUCUCAAGUCAGGAAAGCUUCUGGGAUCGGUAAGUGCCUCUCUGUCUCCUGCUCUCUCCUGAUGGCAGGUCCCCUCUCUGGCAAUGACAGAAAGGAGUAGAUUUGGAUGAGCAGCAGCCAAAGUGAAAAAGAUGCCAUAAUCUUCAACAUCACCAGUUUAUUACUGGGAUUGCGGGAAGCACACGGGAAGUCCUGCCUCUGAAGUCUGUGGCUGAACAUUUCCUGGUUUCUGCCUCUGUGAAUCAACCUGAAAGAAAUACUCAUCUUGGAAGAAGUGUGAAUCCAUCACUUCAAAGUACAGGGUCCCCGUAAGACCAUCCACGCACAGGCAGUGGACUGGUUCCACCCUGCAGUCUCUCCAUCCUGAGCCCACCUGUGUUUGGAGUCUGAUUGUCUACUGCUCUCUGACCUUGGGCAAGCUGUUUGGAGCUUGCUCAAGCUUAUUUCUUUGUUUGCAAAAUGGAGGCAAUAGUACUUUAUAGGGCGAUUGUGGUCAAGCUCAUUUCAUUUGCAAAAUAGAGAUGGUAGCACUUUACAGGGUGAUUGUGGGGCACAGGUAAGUGAUGAUGUGAACUGUUUAACUACAUGCUGGCACAAGGCAAAUGCCUGACACAUGGCAGCUGGGACUGAGGAGCAACCCACACAUGGACCCAACUGCUGGGGGACCAUCCAGUAUGUCUUUCGUUCAACUAAAAUGUGUCCUCUAAGGAUGGCUUCAUGACACAGUGGAAAACAACAGCAAUAACAACUAAAGUCUAUGGAGACCCAGGUAAAUAAGUGGGUAAGAUAUCAUACUGAGUACUUCAUAUGUGUUUUUCAUUCAUUCAAAAUGACUAAAUGACCCUUUUUAGACAGAAGUUGCAGAAGAGGAGGUUGAUAAUCUUAUCGAAUAUUAUAAAUAGUUAUUAUAAGUGGUGAAGAUGGAAUUCAAACCUGGAAGGCCUGAACCGGGAUGAGGAGCUCUAACCACUGACAAGUAUGGUCUCGGGCGGGUGGAGACACACCUGGCUGAAUCAAAUGCACUGUCACUCUCUACCAGUAUCUUAGCUCCGCAUGGGUGCAGGGCUGUUUCCAGAUUUGAGAACAGUGGAUCCCCGUGCUUGUGGCUGCUCCUCCAGGCCUCGCUGCCUCCCACCUUUGGCCUGGGUAGGGGUGUGGGUGGGGGUGGUGGCAGCCCAGACCUGCAGGCCCAGGGAACUUCCUCUAGGCACUCACAAAACCCAAGGGCCAAUGCAGAGGCCACAAGUGGCCUUCCCACAUUUGUUUGUCAGGAACUGUGCUCGGUUCAGGCAUUCAACAGUGCAAAAAGAUAGAGUCCUUAUCCCUCUAGAGCUCACGUUCUGGCAGUUACGAGAGAUAUUAAUAAAUACUGGCCAUGCAGCGUGAUAGGGCUUCUUCCCUGGUAGCACAGCAAUAAAGAAUCUGG